rnacentral:tmRNA from 1 species
GGGGAUGACCGGAUUCGAUAUAUAGAUCUUUAACACAUAUGCGUAACCGAGUACCCUCAAAUCUCGUUAAACUUUGAGGAACCUUAUGUGCUAAAAACACUAAAGCUGUUGCGUCCAAUUUUGGAUUCAGCAACUCUUUCGCCUUUGCUAGAGCCUAGCUCUACCUCAUGCGAGACGUCUUACUUUUAUCUGCUUUGUGUGAGAAAUAAGGCGUAAUAUAGCAAAGCAAGGUUAAGGGUCGUAAUCUUUCCCCUUAAUCGAGAUUAUAAGAUUAGUUUAUAUGAUGUUUGGAUGUGUAUUUAUAAUCAUAUAAAUGAAAUUUGAAAACAUAUCUAUGUUACGUAGAAGUAUGUGUUAUACCUAUAUAGACGAGGGUUCAACUCCCUCCAUCUCCACAA